UUUUAGCCCCGAUGAAAGGGAAUAUCCUUUUUGUUUUUUCUUUAAAAACAAAAAGAUUGGAAUGACAGCGGGAUUAGCU
rnacentral:sRNA from 1 species